UUCGUCACUUUAUUAUCACGAAACUCGACAGACCAGAGCAUGGAAUGGCGGGUGGUUUCGUUUUUGCCAUUUCCGGUUCCCGUUGGUUCGCAGAGCAGCAUGAAGAUGACGGUUAACUGUGUGUAUUCAUCUUUGGAUUAUUGUUGUCUUCGAAAAUACAUGUCUACAUUUGUUACGAUGGAUAACGAUUUAUUGAUUUCGCUCGCCAAGCAUACAAACGCCACCUCAACAUGUCAUAGGCGGUAAAUAUGUUCAUCUGUGUUGGGCGAAAGCAAAGGGUUGGCGGUGCCGCAGGGAAUCUCAUAGAUAAAAUAUGAUUCACGUUUGAUAUGACAACGUUUAUCCUGUGAUUCCGAUAGCCCUACUCAAUUCUGCACGUAUCCCGAAGGUUCGUACGUACUCAACGCAAUUACACGGCUUGUCUCGCUUCCUACGCUGGACGUCGUUACCUCCAUCGGCUCGUUUCCCCGUUUGUUAUCCCACGUGACGGCACAGGGUUGGCAACAAACGGAGCAGCUCCGCUGUUGUUAGGGGGCAGAAAUUCGUCCACUAACACUGUCCAUGACCAACGGAUGGCUGCGCCCGGGCGGUCGCACUCGGGGAUAGGAGAAUCCCAUUGACGGCGCGCCAAGUACGUUCUCUGGAGUCUUCCUGUAUUAACUCUAUGGUUGAUUUAAAAGAUCAAUCGAAAGUCAAGCACGCGCUGUAAUAUGCCAUCACUUUUCUGUAUCUUCCACGGACAUGCUCCGUACAGCAUCCCGUCGGUCACCUUGCUCGGAUGUUCAUGGCAACAAGAUCACAAUGAAAGAUCUAGCAAGCUAUAUUUUAUCGCACAUUGAACCCAGUGCAUGGAGUAUCAAUUGAAAUAAUUCAAUUUGUAUUUGUACCCUGCAUUUUUUGUAUUUUUCUCUUGGUAGCAUUUUUUGUAGUUUAUACAUGAUCACUGCUGGUUCAGUUGAAUUUGGUUAUGACAUACAAACCGGAACACUAAAUAAUGCAUGGGUGCAGGCAUUGAAAUGCACAAUGCAGUAUUAAACUAAUUUACUUCUCCGAUAUAUGUACUCCGGCUGACGGCCGCAGCAUGUGGGCAAAUGACUAUAACUGGAAGAUCCCAUGAUGACGCUCUCUGGAUCUCCUCCGGGCAUCCCAUCACGGACGAGGACGCGAUGACACUUUGUGGACGUCCUGAGGAUCGCGAGUGUUCUUGGGGAACGCGACGCAUAAAAAAGUGAGACGUAUUUACAUUGUCGGGCUUCAUACUUCAAGAAGGAGGCUUCUUCUGUGCUGUAAAGUAAAUCGUGUUCACUUUAGAUGCCCGCGGACCGGCGCAUGCACUUACAGCUUUCGAACCGCCAAUCUUCAAAGUCGUAAACGCGCGCAACGACAAAAAGCAAGCAAGCCGGUCUUGGAUUGGAUACCAAUUUGGCUCGCAUCCGCGCCACAAUAGCGACCGCUGCGAUGCUAUACGUUCGUAGCGCGUCGAAAAAUUAUCUAUAUGCUGAAUGAUAACGCAUGAUAUUAUGCUGUCAGUGGCAACAAAGGUCGUUGUUUAGAAAUCGGUGCUUUAAGAAACAACACUGUAUUAUUCCACUCUCGCAGAUCAUUGUAGCAGCUUCUGACUGUUAGAGCAGUUGGCGGUGACCACACGGGUAAACGAAAAGCAGCGGCAGAGUUUCUGCACAAGUUUUGUGUCACAAAGUAAAUAAUGCGGAUUGCAAGCGCUGAUGUGAGCUUCGGUUUCCUGUUCUCUAAUGUUCUCCUGGUUCUGCAUAUCGCUCCAAAAGCAUUCUCCGAGCGUCGAUUAAGUUUUCCUUGUAAACUUUAAAGAAUGUGAGACACAUUAUUAUACCGUAUUAAGCAGUACAACGUGGUAUAAGUGAACGCACACCAAACAACAUACGGUACCUGAGUGUUCUGCAAACGCAAAGAAGGCUAUCAGAAAGAUGGCACGCAUGCCCUAUGCAUGACUGUGAAGUAAGACCCGAGACAAGGAGGUCUUACUUCACAGUCAUGCACCAGCAGCUUGUCAGCGCCAUUUCGCUUCUGCCCUAUGCAUGUCCAGGUUCAGACGUAACUGCGACGUUCGCAUUUUCCCAAACGCCAUUCCGGGGUGUACAUCGGGUAUCCAAGGAUAUCUGGACAUGCGGGACGUUCGGGACCUAUCCCGGAUAUCCCCUGGAUAUUCGGGGUUUACUGGGUAUCUAUCUCUAUCGAACUUUUUUGUUGUCUGAACGUUGUCUAUCUCUGUCAAACCCCUUUCAAGAGUCAGUUUCCUUUACAACAACCUAGCUCGCAAGUCGUCGAGCCCCACAGGAAAUGUGGUUGGUAUGGCUUUCGCGCAAUAUGGACGUCGAAGUAAUCUCAGGCGAAAAAUCCUGACCGGUCCCGGAAUGGUUCCAUGCAGUUGAAUGUGAAUUGUACCAGCUGGAUUCCCAAGUGGAGUGGCUGGUUCCACUUUGGUGAAGUAUAAGUGGUACCACUUGGGCCUCAUAUGGUCCCAGCUGGACCCUCACAGGUACCAUUUUGUUUCCAGAAUGGGCAAUUCACCUACUUGAGAUCCCAAGCUGGACAGCUUCCCCAUUUGAGAUGGCAUGGGGGAAGAGUCCACUCUUGCCACAUGCCCUUCCGGUUUUGUUUGAUCUAUUAUUUUGAUCUAUUUAACACAUGUAUGAUCUCUUUUUAUUGCUUUUUAUCCAUCUGCAUCUGCGAUCAAAUAUAUGCCAUAACGUCAAUUCAUGCUCACAUUCUCAUCUAAAGAUGAACAUCAUAAGCUGAUUGUUAAAAACUAUAAUUCUUGACAACCUCUUACGCAGACGUGACCUUGCAGUCACCUUCUCCGUGUACUGUUUGGCAAGGUGAUAAAGUCUUACCUUCCCAUAACAGUCUGCAACAUGUUUUGCAAGGCGAAUGACAUGGUUUUCGUCUGCACUGCACUCAAACAUGUGCUGGCUCAAAGUAGGAAAAAUGUCCAGUCUUGCAGACGUGCACAGGAUGUCCUGCAAGACGGCCCUUGUGAGAAGCUGCCCAAGCUGAGCAUUGGAUGACAAGGUUCCGUCUGAGAUAUGAAGUAUUUGACGAACACGUUUUUCUGUUGUUUUACAAAUGGUGAUGGCACUCUGAGACGCACUAAUCAGACCACCUCGAGACUUUCGACGAAGAAGAGCACUGUGUAGAGUUCUGUCUGUGAGAGCGUCAAUGCAGUCAGCACAGGAGAUCUUUCUUGUCACCAUCUUGACAACGUAGCCCGCGAUGUACCCCACAACAUCUUCAACAAAGGUUGACAGUUGCUCUGUAUCAUGUACAUCCGCGUAGUCGUGGUCUUCAACACGUUCACUCUGUGCAGUACCAAAAUAGCGUGAUGCAUGAAUGUCAAGUUCGUCAAGGGAAGUAGCUGCUGCUGCGGCUGUCACAGUCGGUAUACGUGUGGAGUCUUGGACGAUACAAUUACCUCGUGCUGUAGGCUCGAUUUCAUGGUGAACAAGGAGCCUCUUGUAUGCAGCCAUGAAGUGUCCUGCCGUUGGAUUAUUGCCACCUUUACCCCCCACCCACCUUUACCCCUCAACGCACAAAAGAAAAGUUCGAGGUGGUCUUGAGAGAGUUUGUAUGUCAGCAGAUACCUUAAGAGUGCAUGAUCUCCCGAAAGAAGAUGGCUGCAUAGGCUUUGAAUGCUUGCCAUGUUGAUCAGGAAUCCAAGGGAGCCUGUUUUUCGUGGGGAUUCUAAUAUUGGCUUUCCAGAUGCAUCUUUCAGGUUGCCAAUAUAUGCAGUCAUCUCGUUGAAGAAUGGAAUCCAAAGGUGGCGGGUUGGAUACCGGAUGGGUGCUUUGAAGUUCUUUGCCAGGGGAUUGCGGGAGUUCAUGAUGUCGAACAGACGAUCGAACUUCCUGAGGAAUUCCACUGUUGCCUCACAUCCACGAAACAUUGGACUGUUUAUGUUCCUGUCACAGCACUCCAGAGCAUCCGCAACACUUGAGCUGAUUGUCUGAGCUGCCAAAUUCACCUUCAUCUUCUGACUUCCCCAGUCAAUGGUUCCCAUUGUUGCCAGGGCAUUACGAAUGAGCUUCAGCAUGUGGCAAGCAUCGAGGAUUACAUGAACUCUCCAGGAAGAAUCAGAAGGGUGCUGAAACCAUGGCCUGAUGUCAGGGCUUUUCAUGUCUGCACCAAGGUCUUGAAACAUGGCUGUUGAUGAGAAAGUAUGCACAUGGCACUUUCCAGUUACUGUCCAAAACAACCACAAGGAAUACAAGAGCUUGCGUAGCUGGUUCCUGACUGUCGUCGUCAAUGCCAGUGCCUAGGUUUAUGAAACCAUUAAAGGACUGUCCUGUGAACUGAAUCUGCUUCUUUAUGCUCAUUUCAUCGAGCAUUAGUGAACACACGACACGUUUAGAUAGCUUCCGCUGCUCUUCUACUCUUGCUUUCAAGGCAUCAAAUGCUUCCUGUGUAAAUCCUGGCUCACCAUGGAUUGCACUGUACCAUGACCUGAUUGUUGCCUGGUGCGGAAGAGCCAAAUUGAACGUCUUUCUCACAUACUCAUACACUUUUGCGGAGUAGAACUGCAGCGUGAGAGCAAAACUACGUAGGGAUGGGGGGUACUGCUCUCUGCUGAUCUUCCCAUGUUUGUUGUGUAUAGUACGUAGCACCAAACCCAACUGCACAUCCGAAAGGGAGCCACGGAGAAUGUCGCUGCACUGUUUUGAAACCAGUGACUUUUUCUGGAGGUCUUCUAUUACACUUUCUGUAGUUACCACCUUUUCCUUCAGUCUCAAAUUCUUCUCCUGGGUAUGCUUCACUUUUUUGCUUGCACUUUCUAGUGCCUCGACUGCGACGUUCACCUUCCGUUUUAAUGUACGAGGACUCUCUUGCACUACGUGUGU